AGUUCCUCACAUCUGUUUCGCUCUUGGGCAUCUGCUGUGGCUGUUGACUCGACUUCUAUUAUCAGAGAAAGAACAGGGCUGUCUUAGCCUGCUGAAGCAGGAAGAAUAGCCACAUCUGGCAGUUUCCAAGGGGAAGCACUCAGACACGCUAUUCCACAGCAGACCCGGGACUCUGCAGUGCAUGGGAGAGAUGCAGUGGCUGUCACCACAGGAGCUGGGAAAGAAGAGGGGCACAAAGGCAUAUUUAGGACAUGCCAUGAGAAAGACUGUACAGCAGGACUUGUAAAGAAUUAAAGGAUAAAAUAACAAGAAGCACAGUGGAGAGAAUGUUGUACAAUUUUGUCAAUAUGGAUGAUUUCCA